rnacentral:rRNA from 1 species
UACGAAGGGGGCUAGCGUUGUUCGGAAUUACUGGGCGUAAAGGGCGCGUAGGCGGUUUUGUCAGUCGGAAGUGAAAGCCCCGGGCUCAACCUGGGAAUUGCUUUCGAUACUGCAAGACUUGAGUUCCGGAGAGGAUGGUGGAAUUCCCAGUGUAGAGGUGAAAUUCGUAGAUAUUGGGAAGAACACCGGUGGCGAAGGCGGCCAUCUGGACGGACACUGACGCUGAGGCGCGAAAGCGUGGGGAGCAAACAGGAUUAGAACCGUACCUC